UACGUAGGGGGCAAGCGUUGUCCGGAAUCAUUGGGCGUAAAGAGCGUGUAGGCGGCCCGGUAAGUCCGCUGUGAAAGUCGGGGGCUCAACCCUCGAAAGCCGGUGGAUACUGUCGGGCUAGAGUGCGGAAGAGGCGAGUGGAAUUCCUGGUGUAGCGGUGAAAUGCGCAGAUAUCAGGAGGAACACCAAUUGCGAAGGCAGCUCGCUGGGACGUUACUGACGCUGAGACGCGAAAGCGUGGGGAGCAAACAGG
rnacentral:rRNA from 1 species